AAUUGGAGGGCAAGUCUGGUGCCAGCAGCCGCGGUAAUUCCAGCUCCAAUAGCGUAUAUUAAAGUUGUUGCAGUUAAAAAGCUCGUAGUUGAAUUUCGGGAUCAAUAUUUCGGUCAUGCCGUUGGUAUGCACUGUUAUCAUUGAUUUCUCACCUUCUAAAGAACCGUAAUGCCAUUAAUUUGGUGUUACGGGGAAUUAGGACUGUUACCUUGAAAAAAUUAGAGUGUUUAAAGCAGGCUCACGCUUGAAUACAUUAGCAUGGAAUAAUGAAAUAGGACAUCCGAUUCUAUUUUGUUGGUUUCUAGGAUCGAUGUAAUGAUUAAUAGGGAUAGUUGGGGGCAUUAGUAUUCAAUUGUCAGAGGUGAAAUUCUUGGAUUUAUUGAAGACUAACUACUGCGAAAGCAUUCGCCAAGGAUGUUUUCAUUAAUCAAGAACGAAAGUUAGGGGAUCGAAGACGAUCAGAUACCGUCGUAGUCUUAACCAUAAACUAUGCCGACUAGGGAUCGGAUGAUGUUAAUUUUUUAAUGACUCAUUCGGCGCCUUACGGGAAACCAAAGUGU
rnacentral:rRNA from 1 species